CCUACGGGGGGCAGCAGUGAGGAAUAUUGGUCAAUGGACGAGAGUCUGAACCAGCCAAGUAGCGUGAAGGAUGACUGCCCUAUGGGUUGUAAACUUCUUUUGUAAGGGAAUAAAACCAGGCACGUGUGCCUUUUUGCAUGUACUUUAUGAAUAAGGAUCGGCUAACUCCGUGCCAGCAGCCGCGGUAAUACGGAGGAUCCGAGCGUUAGCCGGAUUUAUUGGGUUUAAAGGGAGCGUAGAUGGGUUGUUAAGUCAGUUGUGAAAUUUUGCGGCUUAACCGUAAAAUUGCAAUUGAUACUGGCAGUCUUGAGUACAGUUGAGGUAGGCGGAAUUCGUGGUGUAGCGGUGAAAUGCUUAGAUAUCACGAAGAACCCCGAUUGCGAAGGCAGCUUACUAAACUGUGACUGACAUUGAUGCUCGAAAGUGUGGGUAUCAAACAGGAUUAGAUACCCGUGUAGUC
rnacentral:rRNA from 1 species